AAAGUGACAUUGGACUGGGGAGGAGGAAGCACAACUUUAUUUUCUGGCCCGAAGCUGGAUAAACCUGCCAGUAAUUUCAGCAAAUGAAACGUGGAACACGUCAAGGCCAGAGGAUGGAAAAGGCUCCAGUUUUGAUAAAAGGAGGCCUGCUUGGCUUGGAAUCCUCUCUCCUGCUGGUUGGGAGAUGCAAAGAUGUUUCCAGAGAGGGGCUGAUGAAUUGAGGGGAAAGAAAUGAGCCCAGUAUGAGUCCCCUUUCAGGGCUGAGCGUGUAUAAAACCAAACAACUUGGAACCGCUCCAAGAGAGGGGAUUAAAGCAACAUGUUAUUCUGAGUGAUUGCUUAAUUUAUUGAGCUGCGGCUGGAUCUGUAAUGAAAUACAGCCCUUGUAACUGAUAACCUCCUGCUGCCAUUGAACUUCUACAAUUAAGGAAUAUUUUCUGAGUUUCUCUGGAACGGCUCUGAAUUUUUAGCCUCUGUGGUAGGGUGCUUCUGAACAUUUGUUUUCCAGGCAAUUUUUUUUGAGUAUUAGGCUGAUGUUAAUAAAUAAGCAGCAUUUUAUUGAGUGUUUUGUGGGAACCAGGAACUUUAUAUACAUUGUUUCUAAUCCUGACACUAAUCCUGUCAAUAUCCAGUGAAAUAACCCCUAUUAUUCCCUAUUUUACAGAUGUGAAGCCACGAGACGUUAGGUCAUUUUCUAGAGUGGUGCUGUCCAAGACAGUAGCUGUGAUGGCUCCUUGUGGCUAUUGAUGUGUAAAUUAGUUAAAAUUAAAUAAAUUUUAACAUUUACACCCUAGGUUGCACUAACAAUGAGUUCAAGUGCCCAGCAGCCCCGUGUACUGUGGCUGAUGGCUACCACAUUGGACAGUGCAGAUAUAGACCAUUUGAAGGUUGCACAAGUGCUAUUGGUCAGCACUGACUUAGAUUUCCUUUUUUUUUUUUUUUUUGAGAUGGAGUCUCGCUCUAUUGUCCAGGUUGGAGUGCAGUGGUGCAAUCUCGGCUCACUGCAACCUCCGCCUCCUGGGUUCAAGUGAUUCUCCUGCCCCAGCCUCCUGAGUAGCUGGGACUACAGGUGCAUGCCACCACGCCCAGCUAAUUUUUGUAUUUUUAAUAGAGAUGGGGUUUCACUGGCCAGGCUGGUCUCGAACUCCUGACCUCAGGGGAUCCACCUGCCUCAGCCUCUCAAAGUGUUGGGAUUACAGGUGUGAGCCACCACGCCCAGCCAGGUUCAGAUUUCAUAGCUAGAACCUGGCAGUGCCAGAAUUCAAGCCGAAGCUAAUGGGCUUUGAAGGCAGAGUUCAUCUGCCAGCCUUGUUGCUUCUUUUUCUUCCCUCUGCUGAGAAGCAAGGAACAGAGCAGUGACUGUAUCCCCUGGCUACACAUUAGAAUUACCUGCAAUUCUUUUUUUUUUUGAGACGGAGUCUCACUCUGUAACCCAGGCUGGAGUGCAGUGGUGUGAUAUUGGCUCACUGCAACCUCCACCUCCCAGGUUCAAGCAAUUCUCCUGCCUCAGCCUUCCAAGUAGCCGGGAUUAUAGGCACACACCACAACGCCCAGCUAAUUUUUGUAUCUUUAGUAGAGAUGGGGUUUCGCCAUGUUGGCCAGGCUGGUCUCGAACUCCUGACGUCAGGUGAUCCACCCUCCUUGACCUCCCAAAGUGUUGGGAUUACAAGCAUGAGCCACCGCACCCGGCCUACCUACAAUUCUUUUUUUUUGAGAUGGAGUCUCGCUGUCUCCCAGGCUGGAGUGCAGUGGCGCGAUCUCAGCUCACUGCAAGCUCUACAUCCCGGGUUCAUGUCAUUCUCCUGCUUCAGCCUCCCGAGUAGCUGGGACUACAGGCGCCUGCCACCACGCCCAGCUAAUUUUUUGUAUUUUUAGUAGAGACGGGGUUUCACCAUGUUAGCCAGGAUGGUCUCAAUCUCCUGACCUCCUGAUCCUACCACCUCGGCUUCCCAAAGUGCUGGAAGCUGUGAGCUUUUUCCCAAAGUGCUAGAAGCUCUGAGCCGCCACGCCUGGCCCCUGCAAUUCUUUAAAAAAAAUGAUGGUAGGGUCCCAGGCCCAGAUAAUCUGACUUCACUGUGAUUAAGCCGGGUGGGGACAGGCAUCAGAGGUUUUUCUACUUCCCCAUGUGAUGCCACUGUGCAGCCAGCACGUAGAGCAGCUAGGCGUGAGGACCCACACAGAGGAUGCUGGAAGCAGCUGGUUCAUCUGCCAGGAGAAUGCAGUAUCUUGUGACCAAGAAGUGGGCUUCUCCCAGGGCCACUUCUAAACCACCUCAUCAGAGAGCUCAGGUUCAUAUCCGAGGGAAGAAACUGAAGUGCUUUCUCACACGCUUCCAGCUUGAUGAGAAUCACAGUAGGGAGCUUUGCUUUUCCAAACAGGCUUUGUCACAUGAUCAUGGAAGAAAGGAGAUGCCCACGUAAGAUCACAGAGACAAGGUGAAAAACCCGUAGCCCCGAAUUGGAAUUGGAAGCAUCAGUAUGAAUUCAUGCUAUAUUUUUGUCUUACAAAGUAAAGCAGGUGUUUGCUAGCUCUGUCAACCAUAAAGUUUAGAAAUAAUGAGCCAUCCAAUAGCAGUGAACACCCCAGCACCCAGGUUAUGGUGUCUAAACGCCACUUCCGACUAGAAAUGAGGGCAUGAAGAAAUAACCAAUUCCAGGUCUGAGGCAAGAAAAAAAAUUCAAGAUGAGCCUGGAACAUCUGGUCAUUCCUUGCUUCCUUGAUAGCAAGGAAGGUGAGGGUCACAUUGAAAAGGAUGCAGGAGACAACAUGGAGUGGCUCCCAAUGGGGAGAGUUUGAGCAUCAUUAACAAUAAUGGGCCGAGCGCGGUGGCUCACGCCUGUAAUCCCAGCACUUUGGGAGGCCGAGGUGGGUGGAUCACAAGGUCAGGAGAUGGAGACCAUCCUGGCUAACACAGUGAAACCCCGUCUCUACUAAAAAUACAAAAAAUUAGCCGGGUGUGGUGGUGGGGUACCUGUAGUCCCAGCUACUCGGGAGGCCGAGGCAGGAGAAUGGCGUGAACCCAGGAGGCGGAGCUUGCAGUAAGCCGAGAUCAGGCCACUGCAUUCCAGCCUGGGCAACAGAUCGAGACUCUGUCUCAGAAAAAUAAAUAAUAAUAAUAAUAAUAAUAAUAAUAAUAAUAAUGACUAUAGGCCAGGUGCGGUGGCUCACACCUGUAAUCCCAGCACUUUGGGAGGCCAAGGUGGGCAGAUCACUUGAGGUCAGGAGUUAGAGACCAGCCUGGCCAACAUGGUGAAACCCCAUCUCUACCAAAAAUAUAAAAAAUUAGCCGGGUGUGGUGGCAUACACAUGUAAUCCCAGCUACUUGGGAGGCUGAGGCAGAAGAAUCGCUUGAACCCAGGAGGCGGAAGUUGCAGUGAGCCAAGAUUGUGCCACUACACUCCAGCCUAGGUGACAGAGCAAGACGCCCAUCUCAAAAAAAAAAAAAAAAAAGAAUGACUUUAAUGGAUUGAAACAUGUCAUAUAUGUCCAAAUCUAUGAGUUGACAAUACUUAAAAAAAAAAAAAAAAAGAAAAAUUCAUUUAUCACCAUGGGAGGAUAUUGGAAAACCCAACUCAUUUUGAAAACUGUCAAAGAAAGGGAAAGAAGCAUUUAUCCUUUUUGGUACAAACCAUACUUUUUGGUAGCCAAAUAGUUGAUAAAUUGAUACCUUUUAUAGACAUAUGUCCACUACCAAAGACAGAAUCAUAGAAUUAGUAUGCCACCAUGUUGUAAUAUCUAAUGAAAUAAUGGGCCAGGUGUAGUGGCUCAUCCCUGUAAUCCCAACACUUUCGGAGGCCGAGAUGGGAAGAUUGUUUGAGGCCAGAAGUUCAAGACCACCCUGGGCAACACAGACCUGUCUAUGCAACAAGAUCCUGUCUCUACAAAAAAAAAAGAAAAAAAAAAAAUUAGCCAGGUUUGGGCAUGUGCCUGUAGUCCCAGCUGUUUGGAAGGCUCAGGUGGGAGGAUCCCUUGAGCCCAGGAGGUCAAGGCUGCAGUCAGCUAUGAUUGCACCACUGCACUCUAACCUAUGUGACAGAGCAAGACCCCUCAAAAAAAAAAAAAAAAAAGAAGAAGAAAUUGUGGAUCUAGACAAUGAUCAUCAACAACAGCUGCUAACAUUGCAAAGAGGAACAACCAGAUAGUGUGUGCCUUUGAAUGGAAGUACAAAACCACCAAUAGGAAGUACUCAUACAAAAAAAAAAAAAUCAAACAUCAAUCUAAGUUAUCUCCUAGGCCUAACUACCAAUUUCUAAGAAAUAUAGCGGGAAGAGGAGCACAUGACACUUCUAUGGAGAUGCUAUAACCAAAAUUCAGACCACAGGAAACUACAGAACAAACAAGCCAGUUUCUUCAACAAAUAAAUUGCAAAGGAAGAAAAAGACAAGGGAAGAGAACCUACAGGUUAGGAGAGAUACAAAAGCAAUCCCAACCGAUGGCAACAUUCGAACUUUAUUUGGAUCCUGAUUUUAACUAGCUAAAGAAACCCUUUAGCUGGGCGCGGUGGCUCACACCUGUAAUCCCAGCACUUUGGGAGGCCAAGCCGGGUGGAUCACAAGGUCAGGAGUUCAAGACCAGCCUGGCCAAGAUGGUGAAACCCCGUCUCUACUAAAAAUACAAAAAUUAGCCAGGUGCAGUGGCGUGCACCUGUAAUCUCAGCUAUUCAGGAGGCUGAGGCAGGAGAAUCUCUGAAACCCAGGAGUCAGAGGUUGCAGCGAGCUGAUAUCAUGCCACCGCACUCUAGCCUGGGCAACAGAGCAAGACUCCGUCUCAAAAAAAAAAAAAAGAAACGCUUUAUGAGAUAACCAGAGAAAUCUGAAUACUAACUGGGUAUUUGCUGAUAGUAAAAGCAUUACUGUUAUUAAAUAGUUUUAGGAGGAGUGAAGGUGGCCAAAAAAAAUUUUUUGGAGUUAUACAUUGAAAUGUUUGUAAAAGAAAUGACUGACGUCUGAAAUUUGCUUCAGAGUAAUCUGGGAUGAGGGAAGGGGAAGAGGGCGUGGAUGGAAUAAGGUUGGCUGAGACUUGACUGCUGAAGCCAGGCUUAUUGUACCACACGCUCCGUUCCUAUGUGUGCUUGAAGCUUUUCACAAUAAAAAGAAAAAAGAGGUAAAGACCAGCCUUUUCCUUCCUUUCUCUCAAUGCUUAGUGUGUCCACCCACUGCUGGCAUCUCUGGGACAAGCCUGGGUAGCAGGCUUGAGAUAGAUCUUCACGCAUCCCACCCCCGUCUCCAUGGCAACCAGUGGGGAGGGAAAGCUGCAUCCACAAAGUUCUGGUCCCCACAGGGGUGAGGCCAGGCCACCAGUGUCAUGCCAGGCCCUGUCUUGCUGCUCCCUUGGGAGAAUUCCCACCAGAACUGCCUCCCUGCACCCAUUCCCCAUCCCUCUGGCCCUCCCUGUGUGCCCCCUGAAGAAGUAGGGGCCAGUCAGUGGAGAGAACAGGACUCUCAAUCAGAUCCAGGUUCAAAUUCUGACUUCACCACUUAAUGGCAGGAUCGGAAACCUCCCUGAGCCUCAUUUUUUUUUCAUCUAUAAAAUGGGCAUACAGUUUUAUUUAAUGUUUAAAAAAGGCAGGGGGCACGACUGGGCAUGGCUCAUGCCUGUAAUGUCAGCACUUUGGGAGCCUGAGGCAGAAAGAUCACUUGAGCCCAGGAGUUUUAGAACAGCCUGGGCAACAUAGUGAGACCUCAUCUCUACAAAAAUUUUAAAAAAUAGGCCGGGCACGGUGGCUCAUGCCUGUAACCCCAGCACUUUAGGAGGCUGAGGUGGGCAGACUGCUUAAGCUCAGGAGUUCAAAACCAGCCUGGGCAACAUGGCAAAACCUCGUCUCUACUAAAAACACAAAAACUAGCAGGGCAUGGGGGGACACGCCUGUAGUCCCAAGUUACUCGGGAGACUAAGGUGGGAGGAUCACCUGAACCCUGGAGGUCGAGGCUGCAGUGAGCUGUGAUUGCACCACAGCACUCCAGCCUGGAGGACAGAACGAGACCCUGUCUCAAAAUAAUAAUAAAAUAUAUAAAGCUGGUAUAAUGUGACCUUUGUUGAGUUAGUUGCUCAACACAUCUUUACUAUGAAUGGACAGUGACAAAAAAGGAUCUAGUCUCCAACUCAUGGAACUCUACUCAGGGGUGAGAGGCAAUCUCCAUAGGCCACUGCACCUGGCCUCAUGUUCCACUUUUUAAAAAAAUUAGCAGUCACAACUCCCAGUCAUACUUUUCAUUAACCAGAACAUCUAUACUUUUCAACUAUGAGUAUCUAGUUAUGGCAAUCACACAGGAUCAUUUCAUUUAAUUUAGCGCUCACAUUUCUUAUUUAUUUAAUGUAUUUAAUUUAUUGAGAUGGAGUCUCGCUCUGUUGCCCAGGCUUGAGUGCAGUGGCAUGAUCUCGACUCACUGCAACGUUUGCCUCCCGGGUUCAAGUGAUUCUCCUGCCUCAGCCUCCUGAGUAGCUGGGAUUAAAGACACGCACCACCAUGCCCAGCUAACUUUUGUAUUUUUAGUAGAGAUGGGGUUUUACCAUGUCGGCCAGGCUGGUCUUGAACUCCUGGCCUCAAGUGAUCCACCCGCCUUCACCUCCCAAACUGCUGGGUUACAGGCGUGAGCCACUGUGCCUGGCCUAGUGCUCACAUUUCUAUGAGCUAAGUCACAUUAUUCCCAUCCUGUGGAGGGAGAAGCUUAGGCACAGAGAGGUGAGAUACCUUGCCAAAGGCCACACUACUGGUGUGGCCUUCUGUGGCCCUGUCUUCUGUGCUCAGCCCUCUGUGCAUUGAUGAAGCUUUGAAAUGCCACAGCAGGGCCAGGAAAUCAGUGCUGCCAGAAGACUGAAAAGCUCUCCAGAUCAUUUUCCAAAUGAAGAAACAGUGGCCCAGAGAAGCCAAGUAACUUGACUGGGGCCACAUAGCAAAUGGGUAGCUGAGCCUGUGUUCACACUGCUUGGGGAGAUGGUGCAGGGAAGCCCUAUUCAGUGAGGGAAGCCAACUCUUACUGCCCCCAUGUAAUCCUGUCCUAAAGCAGGGUGGCCAGCCAUCCCAGCGUGCCUAGGACUAGGAGGUUUUUGGGACUGGAGACAUUAGGUGCUAAAACCAGGAAAGCUCUGGGCCAACUGGGAUGAGCUGGGCAUUCCAUCCCAUAGACAGUAAGGUGUCUAAAUGGUUAUUUCCAGGAAAUGAGGCUUUGGGAUGGAGCUGGCUGGCAAGAACCAUCAAGACCCCGUUGAAAGACUAGGGUUUUAUGUCUAUGAUACCCUGGAGAUUCCACCUAUGUGUCACCUCAGUGGACUCCGCGGGGGCCCACGGCCUGGCAUCCUAUUCUGCCCCCAAACAGCUAAAGUGCUCUAAAUCCUAAACCUAAUUGCCCCAUGUCCCAGUAUGCAAACCUAAAUGGUUUCUCAUUUUCCCCCCAUUGCCUUAGGACCAACCAUAAACUCUGCUGGCCCAGGAGACCCUUGGUGGGCUUGCCUCUGUCCACCUGGUGCUGCCUCUCUCUGCAACCCACCCCACCUCACCCCUACAAAAUUCCAAGCAAGGACAGGAUAACCAAAGACUUCUCACUUCACCCCCCUUCACCCACGUAACCUUUAUCUUAGCAUCCUACCCUUUUCUUCCAUGACAUCAGUGCAAUUGUAAUUACACAGCUAUUUGUAUAAUUAGCUGAUUAUUAAUAUCUAGCCUCCCCCACCCCUGGCUAGACUGUCAGCCCACAGGGGCGGGGGUGGGUGUGUGAUGUGCACUGUUUUACAGCCUGACUCAGUGGAGACACAUGAAUGACACUCAAAAGUCACUGAAUGGGCCAGACAUGUGGCUCACACCUGUAAUCCCAGCACUUUGGGAGGCUGAGGUGGGCAGAAUGCCUAAGGUCAUGAGUUCGAGACCAUCCUGACCAACAUGGCAAAACACCAUCUCUACUAAAAGUUACAACAAUUAGCUGGGUGUGGUUACAUGCGCCUGUAUAGUCCCAGCUACUCGGGAGGCUGAGGCAGGAGAAUUGCUUGGGCCUGGGAGGUGGAGGUUGCAGUGAGCCAAGAUCACAUCACUGCACUCCAGCCUGGGAGACACAGCGAGACUCCAUCUCAAAAAAAAUAAUAAUAAAAUGGCUGGGCACGGUGAUCCCAGCACUUUGGGAGGCCAAGGCAGUUGGAUCACUUGAGGUCAUGAGUUCAAGACCAGCCUGGCCAACAUGGUGAAACCCCAUCUCCACUAAAAAUACAAAAAAUUAGCUGAGUGUGGUAGUCCAUGCCUGUAGUCCCAGCUACUCGGGAGGCUGAGGCACAAGAAUUGCUUGAACCCGGGAGACAGAGGUUGCAGUGAGCCGAGAUCAUGCCACUACACUCCAGCUUGGGUGACAGAGCGAGACUCUGUCUAAAAAAAAAGGAAAAAAAAAAAAAGUCAUUGAAUGGCCCCACCAAAGACUGCUAUCACCUCCAACUGGGCCUCCAUCUGAAAUCACAGAAACCCUCCAUAGCCACCAGGGUCUCCACUUCCCAGGCUGCUAUCCAUGAUGUCACAGGAUGGAAAAUGAUCCCAGAAAAAGACUGGCAAAGGGAGAAGCUCCUGGAGGAGGACGUGGAAGGCAGGAUUGGUGUGGUUUUUAAUUACUGUACCUGUUCUGACCACAUUUUCUUAGCUCUGCUCACAUCCCUACUUCAAUAGUAGCUUAGGACAACAAAACAAAAACAUCAGCCCCAGAGUUUGAGACAAGAUAUCUCACUGGUUCCCUCUUUGCCGGUAAUUAACGCUGAAAAGUUUCAAUACUUAUCUUGGCAGCAAAGGUAAUAAUACAAACGCACAGCCAGAUUAUUUGGCUGCUAAUUCUCUUCUUGAUGUUUUCCUUCCCCUUUCCUUAAAUUAAUUCCAGAGUUCUUCCAGAUUUCUCGUUGCUAAGCUAUAAAGUUCCAGGUUUCCGCAGCAUGGCUGCUAAUUGGCAGGGAGUUACCAGGCAGCUCCAAUCAGAACCAGGUUGUUGAAAGGAGCGUCCACACUACAGCUCGCUCAGAGGUUUUGGAAUUUUCUCGCUGACAUUAUGAACCGCAAAGGUCUUUGCCUAACUCUGCAGAACCUGUUUUCUUGAUUUGGCUGUUGGGCGACACCAGACGCCUUGGACUUUCCCUAGGAGGCGUGGGGAGUCCCUGGGUCUCCUGGUUAGGGUCAGUGACAGGGAUGCUCAGAGCACAUUCAUGGCUCACCACAGACAAUGUGACCCCCAACACUGCUGCAGAAAGGGUGCCGCAAGCCCCCCAGGACUGACCUCUCACAUCCAUCUCCCAAGCAUGUUGACAGACUAUCUGGAGGAGGCUGAUGAUACCUCUGAACUUAGGAUUUUAGGGGUGAAGGUCAUAUUUGUAAAGGACUUUAAAACACCCAAAUGGAGGGCCAUUUGGUGAUCUACCUCCAGAAUCAUAAUGAAAACCAUCACCAUGAACUGAGUUUCUACUGUACACCACAAACCAUAUUCUCAUCUGUUCCCAUCCUAAAACUCCCACUGGACCAGCUGGGAACCUGACAGCUGCUGCACUGUUGGUUCCACUUGCCUGCUGCCGUCUUCUAGGAGCAGAAAGUCAUGUGACCCGGGCCUGGCUACUGUGAUUGGCUCUGUGAUGAGCACAUGACAAAGCUGGGCCAAUCAGAAUCUUCCCUGAGACUUUUUUUGCCAGAUAGGAAAAGACUCCCCAACCCUACCGUUGCUAAGCUGGUGCCCAUUGGGAACACAUAUGGAAGGUGCCUGAGAAAUAUAAGAAGCCCCCAAAGAUAUGCAGUCCCUAUGACAAUGCUUGAGCCUUAGAUGCACCUGUAGAGGAAGCCAGAUCUACUUCCUGGAUUUGACAGUUACAGGAAUAGUAAAUUCUUUUACUGCUUAAGCCAGUUUACCUUUGUGUCUGUUGCUUCUUGCUGAAGAGUGCUAAGUAAUGGGGUUACAUAGCUUCUCUGCAUGGUGCCUUGGCUCUAAGGCAGGCAGUUUGCUUAUAUUCCUGCAUAGGGUCUUCACAAUUACCUGGUGAGGCACUCCAUUUUGCACCUGGGGAAACUGAGGCUCAGAAGGGUAAGGGAGGCUUGCCCAGGUAACAUGGUCACUGUGUUCUCAGGAGUUCAAACCUG
rnacentral:lncRNA from 1 species